rnacentral:misc_RNA from 1 species
CUUUGAAUGCCAAAAAAAUUGUAAAAUGUCAAUUUAUAAAAUUUGAAAAAAAGACCAACCAAUAUAAUAUGAAAAACCUAAACCUAUAUAUAUUCUUUCAACUUGAAAAUAUAAAAAGAAAAUAAAAACUAAACCUAAUUCAGGCCAUAUAAAUCCAUGUCAUAACCCAAUGUUCUAGCAAAUGGAUUAUAAAACUCACUGCAAGGAUAAUCCCCCAAGACUCCCCUGGCGAAUUUUUAUUCUCGUUUCCAAUCUUUUUUUCCCCAUUAAUUUGGGUUAGGGUGGAAAUUUCUUUUUUUUUUUUAUCUAUACAAUAUAUAUAUAAUCAUUGUUUGACUUAUUAAUUAAUAACAAUCAGAAAAGAAAAAAUUCAGAAAGUUUUAGAAAUAACACACUGGUAUUACCACCAAUUUUAUAUUAUUGUCCAUAUAGUAUCAAAUGAUUUACAAGUUUUGGAUAUUGAUACAGACCUAAUAUUUAAUAGAGUUGAAUGGUGAAAAAGGAUUCAUAUAGCUGACACCAACUGGUUUGGGAUUAAGGCUUAGUUGUUAUUGUUGUGUUGUUGUGGUGUCAGUAAGUAUGCUCAUAAACUAUUACCAGGUGCAGCAAAACAUUCUUUUGUCAACUUGAUUAACAGAUAAUAUACUUGCGAAUAUCAUAGAUAUUGCAUCUAGAAUUUUGGGUCUUUUACAAAUUUUAGGAUUUGCUUAUGCAAUCAUUUGGUCAAAUCCUAAAUCCUACUAUACUUAUGAUUAUUAAGAAUCUUGAAUCAACAUGUUUAUUUUGACAAGUGGCGUGUGAAUGUAUAUUCUUAAAAAAGUGAUGUCCUCUUUAAUAUAGAGUAAAAGUAAAGCAUGCAGUGAAAAUUUCAGAUGUUCAACACCCUGUAAAUAUUUUCUGAAAAUUGUGGAAAAUAAUAUCCGCUAAACUAUGGCCACAAGAAUGGUCCAUUAAAUAGGAACCUUCUUUGAUUCUUUCUGCUGCUUAAUCAUAUGUAUUUUUUUAUUAUUUAGAUUUUGAUAUGGUGAUUUUUUAGAAUUCUGUAUUAUAAGUUGCAAUUUUCAAUUUGUCAUCAGUUGGAUCCUCCACCAGCAAGAACUG